rnacentral:rRNA from 1 species
UACGUAGGGGGCGAGCGUUGUCCGGAUUUAUUGGGCGUAAAGGGCGCGUAGGCGGCGCAACAAGUCACUUGUGAAAUCUCCGGGCUUAACCCGGAGCGGUCAAGUGAUACUGUCGUGCUAGAGUGCGGAAGGGGCUACUGGAAUUCUCGGUGUAGCGGUGAAAUGCGUAGAUAUCGAGAGGAACACCUGCGGCGAAGGCGGGUAGCUGGGCCGACACUGACGCUGAUGCGCGAAAGCCCAGGGGAGCGAACGGG